rnacentral:rRNA from 1 species
GACGAACGCUGGCGGCGUGCUUAACACAUGCAAGUCGAACGGAAAGGCCCUGCUUUUGUGGGGUGCUCGAGUGGCGAACGGGUGAGUAACACGUGAGUAACCUGCCCUUAACUUUGGGAUAACUUCAGGAAACUGGGGCUAAUACCGGAUAGGAGCUCCUGCUGCAUGGUGGGGGUUGGAAAGUUUCGGCGGUUGGGGAUGGACUCGCGGCUUAUCAGCUUGUUGGUGGGGUAGUGGCUUACCAAGGCUUUGACGGGUAGCCGGCCUGAGAGGGUGACCGGCCACAUUGGGACUGAGAUACGGCCCAGACUCCUACGGGAGGCAGCAGUGGGGAAUAUUGCACAAUGGGCGGAAGCCUGAUGCAGCAACGCCGCGUGCGGGAUGACGGCCUUCGGUUUGUAAACCGCUUUCGCCUGUGACGAAGCGUGAGUGACGGUAAUGGGUAAAGAAGCACCGGCUAACUACGUG